rnacentral:rRNA from 1 species
UACGAAGGGGGCUAGCGUUGUUCGGAAUUACUGGGCGUAAAGGGCGCGCAGGCGGCUCUUCAAGUCAGGCGUGAAAGCCCCGGGCUUAACCUGGGAACUGCGUCUGGGACUGUCGGGCUAGAGAUCGGGAGAGGAGAGUGGAAUUCCCAGUGUAGAGGUGAAAUUCGUAGAUAUUGGGAAGAACACCGGUGGCGAAGGCGGCUCUCUGGACCGAUACUGACGCUGAGGCGCGAAAGCGUGGGGAGCAAACAGG